rnacentral:rRNA from 1 species
CCUUGACAUACUAAGAACUUUCAGAGAUGGAUUGGUGCCUUCGGGAACUUAGAUACAGGUGCUGCAUGGCUGUCGUCAGCUCGUGUCGUGAGAUGUUGGGUUAAGUCCGCAACGAGCGCAACCCUUUUCCUUAUUUGCCAGCGGGUAAUGCCGGGAACUUUAAGGAUACUGCCAGUGACAAACUGGAGGAAGGCGGGGACGACGUCAAGUCAUCAUGGCCCUUACGGCCAGGGCUACACACGUGCUACAAUGGUCGGUACAAAGGGUUGCUACCUCGCGAGAGGAUGCUAAUCUCAAAAAGCCGAUCGUAGUCCGGAUCGCAGUCUGCAACUCGACUGCGUGAAGUCGGAAUCGCUAGUAAUCGCGGAUCAGAAUGCCGCGGUGAAUACGUUCCCGGGCCUUGUACACACCGCCCGUCACACCAUGGGAGUUUGUUGCACCAGAAGUAGGUAGUCUAACCGCAAGGAGGACGCUUACCACGGUGUGGCCGAUGACUGGGGUGAAGUCGUAACAAGGUAAGCGUAGAUGA